rnacentral:rRNA from 1 species
AACGAACGCUGGCGGCAUGCCUAACACAUGCAAGUCGAACGAGACCUUCGGGUCUAGUGGCGCACGGGUGCGUAACGCGUGGGAACCUGCCCUUAGGUUCGGAAUAACUCCCCGAAAGGGGUACUAAUACCGGAUAAUGUCUUCGGACCAAAGAUUUAUCGCCUUUGGAUGGGCCCGCGUUGGAUUAGCUAGUUGGUAGGGUAAAAGCCUACCAAGGCGACGAUCCAUAGCUGGUCUGAGAGGAUGAUCAGCCACACUGGGACUGAGACACGGCCCAGACUCCUACGGGAGGCAGCAGUGGGGAAUAUUGGACAAUGGGCGAAAGCCUGAUCCAGCAAUGCCGCGUGAGUGAUGAAGGCCUUAGGGUUGUAAAGCUCUUUUACCCAGGAUGAUAAUGACAGUACCGGGAGAAUAAGCUCCGGCUAACUCCGUG